rnacentral:rRNA from 1 species
GACGAACGCUGGCGGCGUGCUUAACACAUGCAAGUCGAACGGAAAGGCCCUGCUUUUGUGGGGUGCUCGAGUGGCGAACGGGUGAGUAACACGUGAGUAACCUGCCCUUGACUUUGGGAUAACUUCAGGAAACUGGGGCUAAUACCGGAUAGGAGCUCCUGCUGCAUGGUGGGGGUUGGAAAGUUUCGGCGGUUGGGGAUGGACUCGCGGCUUAUCAGCUUGUUGGUGGGGUAGUGGCUUACCAAGGCUUUGACGGGUAGCCGGCCUGAGAGGGUGACCGGCCACAUUGGGACUGAGAUACGGCCCAGACUCCUACGGGAGGCAGCAGUGGGGAAUAUUGCACAAUGGGCGGAAGCCUGAUGCAGCAACGCCGCAUGCGGGAUGACGGCCUUCGGGUUGUAAACCGCUUUCGCCUGUGACGAAGCGUGAGUGACGGUAAUGGGUAAAGAAGCACCGGCUAACUACGUGCCAGCAGCCGCGGUGAUACGUAGGGUGCGAGCGUUGUCCGGAUUUAUCGGACGUAAAGGGCUCGUAGGUGGUUGAUCGCGUCGGAAGUGUAAUCUUGGGGCUUAACCCUGAGCGUGCUUUCGAUACGGGUUGACUUGAGGAAGGUAGGGGAGAAUGGAAUUCCUGGUGGAGCGGUGGAAUGCGCAGAUAUCAGGAGGAACACCAGUGGCGAAGGCGGUUCUCUGGGCCUUUCCUGACGCUGAGGAGCGAAAGCGUGGGGAGCGAACAGGCUUAGAUACCCUGGUAGUCCACGCUGUAAACGGUGGGUACUAGGUGUGGGGUCCAUUCCACGGGUUCCGUGCCGUAGCUAACGCUUUAAGUACCCCGCCUGGGGAGUACGGCCGCAAGGCUAAAACUCAAAGGAAUUGACGGGGCCCCGCACAAGCGGCGGAGCAUGCGGAUUAAUUCGAUGCAACGCGUAGAACCUUACCUGGGUUUGACAUGGAUCGGGAGUGCUCAGAGAUGGGUGUGCCUCUUUUGGGGUCGGUUCACAGGUGGUGCAUGGCUGUCGUCAGCUCGUGUCGUGAGAUGUUGGGUUAAGUCCCGCAACGAGCGCAACCCUUGUUCACUGUUGCCAGCACGUUAUGGUGGGGACUCAGUGGAGACCGCCGGGGUCAACUCGGAGGAAGGUGGGGAUGACGUCAAGUCAUCAUGCCCCUUAUGUCCAGGGCUUCACGCAUGCUACAAUGGCUGGUACAGAGAGUGGCGAGCCUGUGAGGGUGAGCGAAUCUCGGAAAGCCGGUCUCGGUUCGGAUUGGGGUCUGCAACUCGACCUCAUGAAGUCGGAGUCGCUAGUAAUCGCAGAUCAGCAACGCUGCGGUGAAUACGUUCCCGGG